rnacentral:rRNA from 1 species
CAGCACAGGGAGCUUGCUCCCGGGUGGCGAGUGGCGCACGGGUGAGUAAUACAUCGGAACGUGUCCUGUUGUGGGGGAUAACUGCUCGAAAGGGUGGCUAAUACCGCAUGAGACCUGAGGGUGAAAGCGGGGGAUCGCAAGACCUCGCGCAAUUGGAGCGGCCGAUGCCCGAUUAGCUAGUUGGUGAGGUAAAGGCUCACCAAGGCGACGAUCGGUAGCUGGUCUGAGAGGACGACCAGCCACACUGGGACUGAGACACGGCCCAGACUCCUACGGGAGGCAGCAGUGGGGAAUUUUGGACAAUGGGGGCAACCCUGAUCCAGCCAUGCCGCGUGCAGGAUGAAGGCCUUCGGGUUGUAAACUGCUUUUGUCAGGGACGAAAAGGACCGUGUUAAUACCAUGGUCUGCUGACGGUACCUGAAGAAUAAGCACCGGCUAACUACGUGCCAGCAGCCGCGGUAAUACGUAGGGUGCAAGCGUUAAUCGGAAUUACUGGGCGUAAAGCGUGCGCAGGCGGUUCUGUAAGACAGAUGUGAAAUCCCCGGGCUCAACCUGGGAAUUGCAUUUGUGACUGCAGGACUAGAGUUCAUCAGAGGGGGGUAGAAUUCCAAGUGUAGCAGUGAAAUGCGUAGAUAUUUGGAAGAACACCAAUGGCGAAGGCAGCCCCCUGGGAUGCGACUGACGCUCAUGCACGAAAGCGUGAGGAGCAAACAGGAUUAGAUACCCUGGUAGUCCACGCCCUAAACGAUGUCUACUG